rnacentral:rRNA from 1 species
UGAGUACGAGAUGCUACGGCAUCGAAGCAGUCUAUGUCAUACUUCCAAGAAAAGCUUGCAAUGUCAUAAACAAAUAAUGCCUGUACCAUAACCGACACAGGUGGGUUGGUAGAGUAUACUAAGGGGCGCGAGAUAACUCUCUCUAAGGAACUCGGCAAAAUGACUCCGUAACUUCGGGAGAAGGAGUGCCUUAUUUUUAUAAGGUUGCAAUAACAAGAUCCAAGCAACUGUUUACCAAAAACACAGGUCUCCGCUAAGUCGUAAGACGAUGUAUGGGGGCUGACGCCUGCCCAGUGCCAGAAGGUUAAAGAAGUUGGUUAGCAUUAGCGAAGCUGAUAACUGAAGCCCUGGUGAACGGCGGCCGUAACAAUAACGGUCCUAAGGUAGCGAAAUUCCUUGUCGGGUAAGUUCCGACCCGCACGAAAGGCGUAAUGAUUUGGAUACUGUCUCGGAGAGGGGCUCGGUGAAAUAGACUUGUCUGUGAAGAUGCGGACUACCUGCACCUGGACAGAAAGACCCUAUGAAGCUUUACUGUAACUUGAGAUUGAAAUUGGACUUUAUCUGCGCAGUAUAGGUGGGAGACGUUGAAAAUAUUCUUGCGGGAAUAUUGGAGUCAUCAGUGAGAUACCACUCUUAUAAUGUUAGAUUUCUAACUUUGUAUCAUUAUCUGGUCAAAGAACAGUUUCAGGCGGGCAGUUUUACUGGGCGGUCGCCUCCCAAACGGUAACGGAGGCGCACAAAGGUUUCCUCUGAACGUGUAGAAAUCGUAUCUAGAGUGUAAAGGCAUAAGGAAGCUUGACUGUGAGACCUACAAGUCGAGCAGGGACGAAAGUCGGUCUCUUGAUCUGACGGUGCUGAGUGGAAAGGCCGUCACUCAACGGAUAAAAGUUACUCUAGGAUAACAGGCUGAUCUCCCCCAAGAGUUCACAUCGACGGGGAGGUUUGGCACCUCGAUGUCGGCUCAUCGCAUCCUGGGGCGGUAGUACGUCCCAAGGGUUGGGCUGUUCGCCCAUGAAAGCGGUACGCGAGCUGGGUUCAGAACGUCGUGAGACAGUUCGGUCCAUAUCCGGUGUAGGCGUUAGAAUAUUGAGAGGAGCCUUCUUUAGUACGAGAGGACCGAGAAGGACAUACCUCUGGUGUACCAGUUAUCGUGCCAACGGUAAACGCUGGGUAGCCAUGUAUGGAGAGGAUAACCGCUGAAAGCAUCUAAGUGGGAAGCCCACCUCAAGAUAAG